UUCAUGCCAUGAUGGCUCCUAUUAGGACGGUAUCUUAAGGUGGACGAGUUUUUAAGUGCACCCCUUCUGAUUAUAACAAAAUUGGAUAUGGUUUCUGAGCAAGUC
rfam:Zea mays cultivar B73 chromosome 1, whole genome shotgun sequence.